rnacentral:pre_miRNA from 1 species
AGCCUUUUGUAUUUGUACUGAGAUUUCUUCAACCAUCAGUCCAGUGGGGUUGAUAAAACUUUCAAAAUAAGUAAAGUG